UAGAGUUUGAUCCUGGCUCAGAUUGAACGCUGGCGGCAUGCCUUUACACAUGCAAGUCGAACGGCAGCACGGGGGCAACCCUGGUGGCGAGUGGCGAACGGGUGAGUAAUACAUCGGAACGUGUCCUGUAGUGGGGGAUAGCCCGGCGAAAGCCGGAUUAAUACCGCAUACGAUCUACGGAAGAAAGCGGGGGAUCUUCGGACCUCGCGCUAUAGGGGCGGCCGAUGGCAGAUUAGCUAGUUGGUGGGGUAAAGGCCUACCAAGGCGACGAUCUGUAGCUGGUCUGAGAGGACGACCAGCCACACUGGGACUGAGACACGGCCCAGACUCCUACGGGAGGCAGCAGUGGGGAAUUUUGGACAAUGGGGGAAACCCUGAUCCAGCAAUGCCGCGUGUGUGAAGAAGGCCUUCGGGUUGUAAAGCACUUUUGUCCGGAAAGAAAACUUCCUGGUUAAUACCUGGGGAGGCUGACGGUACCGGAAGAAUAAGCACCGGCUAACUACGUGCCAGCAGCCGCGGUAAUACGUAGGGUGCGAGCGUUAAUCGGAAUUACUGGGCGUAAAGCGUGCGCAGGCGGUUUGUUAAGACAGAUGUGAAAUCCCCGGGCUUAACCUGGGAACUGCAUUUGUGACUGGCAAGCUAGAGUAUGGCAGAGGGGGGUAGAAUUCCACGUGUAGCAGUGAAAUGCGUAGAGAUGUGGAGGAAUACCGAUGGCGAAGGCAGCCCCCUGGGCCAAUACUGACGCUCAUGCACGAAAGCGUGGGGAGCAAACAGGAUUAGAUACCCUGGUAGUCCACGCCCUAAACGAUGUCAACUAGUUGUUGGGGAUUCAUUUCCUUAGUAACGUAGCUAACGCGUGAAGUUGUCCGCCUGGGGAGUACGGUCGCAAGAUUAAAACUCAAAGGAAUUGACGG
rnacentral:rRNA from 2 species